GACGAACGCUGGCGGCGUGCCUAAUACAUGCAAGUAGAACGCUGAAGAGAGGAGCUUGCUCUUCUUGGAUGAGUUGCGAACGGGUGAGUAACGCGUAGGUAACCUGCCUUGUAGCGGGGGAUAACUAUUGGAAACGAUAGCUAAUACCGCAUAACAAUGGAUGACACAUGUCCUUUAUUUGAAAGGGGCAAUUGCUCCACUACAAGAUGGACCUGCGUUGUAUUAGCUAGUAGGUGAGGUAAUGGCUCACCUAGGCGACGAUACAUAGCCGACCUGAGAGGGUGAUCGGCCACACUGGGACUGAGACACGGCCCAGACUCCUACGGGAGGCAGCAGUAGGGAAUCUUCGGCAAUGGGGGCAACCCUGACCGAGCAACGCCGCGUGAGUGAAGAAGGUUUUCGGAUCGUAAAGUUCUGUUGUAAGUCAAGAACGGGUGUGAGAGUGGAAAGUUCACACUGUGACGGUAGCUUACCAGAAAGGGACGGCUAACUACGUG
rnacentral:rRNA from 1 species